UAGUGGCGAACGGGUGAGUAACACGUGGGCAAUCUGCCCUUCACUCUGGGACAAGCCCUGGAAACGGGGUCUAAUACCGGAUAUGAGCCUGGGAGGCAUCUCCCGGGUUGUAAAGCUCCGGCGGUGAAGGAUGAGCCCGCGGCCUAUCAGCUUGUUGGUGAGGUAAUGGCUCACCAAGGCGACGACGGGUAGCCGGCCUGAGAGGGCGACCGGCCACACUGGGACUGAGACACGGCCCAGACUCCUACGGGAGGCAGCAGUGGGGAAUAUUGCACAAUGGGCGAAAGCCUGAUGCAGCGACGCCGCGUGAGGGAUGACGGCCUUCGGGUUGUAAACCUCUUUCAGCAGGGAAGAAGCGAAAGUGACGGUACCUGCAGAAGAAGCGCCGGCUAACUACGUGCCAGCAGCCGCGGUAAUACGUAGGGCGCAAGCGUUGUCCGGAAUUAUUGGGCGUAAAGAGCUCGUAGGCGGCUUGUCACGUCGAUUGUGAAAGCCCGAGGCUUAACCUCGGGUCUGCAGUCGAUACGGGCUAGCUAGAGUGNGGUAGGGGAGAUCGGAAUUCCU
rnacentral:rRNA from 1 species